GAGAGGGCAGUGGCGCACCAGUCUCCAUGAAGGUUGAGCUCCGAUGGCCAACAGCCAUUUCCACCUUGUGGUCUACAACUCUUCAUCCCGACUGCAUGGAGGUUGGUCUCUCUCUUCAGCUGGAUUUAGGCCACCAUCUGAGCCCCCGGGGUACGUUUUGUCUGACCCUGGCGCCAUUCGAACGGUUCUUCUACAGCAUCAGUUCUCUUUCCUGCCACCAUGUGAAGAAGGACAUGUUUGCUUCCCCUUCUGCCAUGAAUGGACAGGGUCCUGCUGUGUUGCCCAGGCUGGCCUUGAACUCCUGGCUUCAAACAGUCUUCCCACUUGGGCUCCCAAAGUGCUGGGAUUAAAGGGGCGAGUUACAGCACCAGGACCUGAAAUGCAUCAUGUGUCAUUCUCACAGCUGUUAGGACUUCAAUGAUGUUAUAAGGAAGUUGGGGCUCAGAGAAGCUACAGAACUUACCCAAGGACACACAGCCAUCACGAAAAACAUGGCCAGCAAAGCAGGUGAGGCAAAGAUCAGGAAGGACAUUAAACGCCAAACUAAGGAGCGGAACUGAAUGAGCAGUGAAGGGGAACAAUGGCUUCAGCAGGUCCACUGGGCUCCUCUUUUCUGUCAGCCUCCCCCUACCCCUCACCUCUGUACUACUCAUGUUACUAUCUACGUCUCUUCACCAAUGUCAUUGUGGAAAUAAAAGCUUAUCUGUAAGAGUA
rnacentral:lncRNA from 10 species